GCUAGCGUAGCUCAACUGGCAGAGCAGUGGUUUUGUAAACCACAGGCUGUGGGUUCGAUUCCCACCGCUAGCU
rnacentral:tRNA from 1 species